UACAGAGGGUGCAAGCGUUGCUCGGAAUUAUUGGGCGUAAAGGGUAGGUAGGUGGUCUCAUUUGUCUGGGGUGAAAUCCUUGGGCUUAACUCAAGAAGUGCCCCAGAAACGGUGAGACUGGAGUCCUGGAGAGGGUCGUGGAAUUCCCGGUGUAGCGGUGAAAUGCGCAGAUAUCAGGAGGAACACCGGUGGCGAAGGCGGGUCUCUGGGCAAUAACUGACGCUGAGGAGCGAAAGCGUGGGGAGCGAACAGG
rnacentral:rRNA from 1 species